UUUUAGAGGGAGAUGAUGAAAGAUCCCACGCAGAGAGACCCUUACUCAAGUCUUGGGAAAUCGCGGACCCCAGACACAGAGAGACCA
rnacentral:pre_miRNA from 14 species